AUUGAACGCUGGCGGCAGGCCUAAUACAUGCAAGUCGAGCGAGCGGCGGACGGGAGUGUAAUGUAUGGGGACUGCCUGAUAGAGGGGGAUAACUACUGGAAACGGUAGCUAAUACCGCAUACUAUCGGAUAACCCAUAUGGGAUUAGCUAGUAGGGGAGGUAAUGUCUCACCUAGGCGACGAUCCAUAGCUGGUCUGAGAGGGUGAUCCGCCACUCUGGGACUGAGACACGGCCCAGACGCCUACGGAGGCAGCAGUGGGAAAUAUUGCACAAUGGGCGCUAGCCUCAUGCAGCCAUGCGGCGUGUCUGAGGAGGGCCAUAGGGUUGUAGAGUACUUUCAGUCGGGAGGCGUUACCGACAGAAGAAGCACCGGCUAACUCCGUGCCAGCCGCCGCGGUAAUAC
rnacentral:rRNA from 1 species